GACCAGUAUAAAAGGCAUGGCAGCUUUUCACUCUCUCAUCCACUUCACUGCCCUUCUUCUCCUUUGGAAGCAAGUGCACCUGUGACCCCGAGCCAUGUCCUGCUUCCAGCCCUGUAACCCUUGCUACCAGCCCUGCGGGCCCCUGCCCGCUGGCCAACAGCUGCAAUGAGUGCUGUGUCAGGCAGUGCCAGAGCUCCACCGUCGUCAUUGAACCCUCGCCUGUGGUGGUGACGCUGCCCGGGCCAUCCUCAGCUCCUUCCCCCAGAACACCGUGGUGGGGAUCCUCCACCUCGGCUGCCGUUGGCAGUGCUCUCAGCUGCAAUGGAGUGCCCAUCAACUCUGGCGGCUUUGACCUCUCCUGCAUCACCAACCGCUA